rnacentral:piRNA from 1 species
UGACAGCCAAGGUUUGUCAGCAUGCAGAGG